AGUGGCGAACGGGUGAGUAAUACAUCGGAACAUGUCCUGGAGUGGGGGAUAGCUCGGCGAAAGCCGGAUUAAUACCGCAUACGCUCUGAGGAGGAAAGCGGGGGACCUGUAAGGGCCUCGCGCUGCAGGAGUGGCCGAUGUCGGAUUAGCUAGUUGGUGAGGUAAAGGCUCACCAAGGCGACGAUCCGUAGCUGGUCUGAGAGGAUGAUCAGCCACACUGGGACUGAGACACGGCCCAGACUCCUACGGGAGGCAGCAGUGGGGAAUUUUGGACAAUGGGGGCAACCCUGAUCCAGCCAUGCCGCGUGAGUGAAGAAGGCCUUCGGGUUGUAAAGCUCUUUCGGACGGAACGAAACGGUUAGCGUGAAUAUCGCUGACUAAUGACGGUACCGUAAGAAGAGAC
rnacentral:rRNA from 1 species